rnacentral:misc_RNA from 1 species
GUUAAUUAUGACAAGAUUAUCUAGCGUGAAUCAAAAGAUAACGUACCUCCUCGCCACGUGAGAUUCUUCGCUUUGCAAAGAUUAUAAUUCUAAGAUCACGUUCAACCUCAACGAUUUCAGCGACACAAUUCGGGUUACAAGAGUGAUUGAUGUACCUUGCGAGACCACCACACAACGUGGCAUCGACCACUCUCUCUUCAUCCAAGCGAAACAUAUAAAUACCACGAUUCUGUAAUAAAUAUAUUUCUAAAAUUGCUUUCAACCAAAUUCUUAAUUCGCUUUUUUCGCCCCCUUAAGCAAAUCGCGCGCGGCAUAAAGUCCCAAACCUUGGAUCUUGGAGCGCGCCAGAUAUACGUUGUUCCGCCACUCUUGCUUCAUCUUUUUGUACUGAGAACUCUUCGAAUGCACAAAUUGUUUGGAAUAGGGGCACGCCACUUCGCCUGCGACAGUCGCAGUUGGAACAAAAGCUGCUCGGGCCGAUGAGCCUGUGCGCUGCGUGUGAGGCCUCUUCCAAGGGAGCUGAUUGCGAAGACGAGCUUCCGUUCUUGCGCUGCCGGUGGGAUUGAUCGCUAACGGUAAUUCUAAUAAGGGAUUUCGACCGUAUUUAAACCUGUAAUCGGUCAGAGUUUCAAUGCCUGGAAGACUUUCGAGAACACGGACGACCGCUGGUUCGGUAAGUCCAAACAAAUCUUCGCCGGAAACGUAACGCGGAAAUAGUUGGACGCUGUGCGUUGAUCUUCGUAGCUCAGCGAGAGGUUCGAGUAUCCUGCUCCAAACAGCGCGAGGAGUAGCGUCGCGAAGUUCAACAUCCUCUUGUAAAGGUUCUUGCACCAGGACGCGAAAUUCGGGUCGACCAGAAACGUCAUGGAUAGAACAGACGUAACGGCAACGUUUGUUUGGCCGUCUCAUGCUCCAAUAAAAUCUAACGAUUUUGUAUCCGACGGGGUAUAUGUAAUUUGGGGUAUGGAAGUUGGCAAGCUGGUGUGGAAGCAGUUGUCCGACGCUUAAAAAUAUCAGACUUCCAACUCUCAGCAGGUGAUUGUGUUCCGAAUGAUGCAUCACAGCUGCGACCUGUCUAUUCUCGUCACGAUUCACGUACACUCUUCUGUAUACGGAAAGCGUGGUUAAUUCGUUAUCUUUUUCGUUCUUUUGUACAUGCUGAGAGCAAUAGGUACUCUGAAAAUUAUAUUAAAUUUUUAUUUGAGUUUUAUAUUUCUUCAC